GAUGAACGCUGGCGGCGUGCCUAAUACAUGCAAGUCGAGCGAACAGACGAGGAGCUUGCUCCUCUGACGUUAGCGGCGGACGGGUGAGUAACAAGUGGAUAACCUACCUAUAAGACUGGGAUAACUUCGGGAAACCGGAGCUAAUACCGGAUAAUACAUCGAACCGCAUGGUUCAAUAGUGAAAGACGGUUUUGCUGUCACUUAUAGAUGGAUCCGCGCCGCAUUAGCUAGUUGGUAAGGUAACGGCUUACCAAGGCAACGAUGCGUAGCCGACCUGAGAGGGUGAUCAGCCACACUGGAACUGAGACACGGUCCAGACUCCUACGGGAGGCAGCAGUGGGGAAUCUUCCACAAUGGGCGAAAGCCUGACGGAGCAACGCCGCGUGGGUGAUGAAGGUCUUCGGAUCGUAAAACUCUGUUAUUAGGGAAGAAAAAAUGUGUGAGUAACUAUGCACGUCUUGACGGUACCUAAUCAGAAAGCCACGGCUAACUACGUG
rnacentral:rRNA from 1 species